rnacentral:misc_RNA from 1 species
CACGCGUUCUCGUUUUAAUUCGUGAAGGUCCCUUCGAAGAAAAGAAUACACUCUCCAGUAUCUCCUGUACUCAUCUGUGCAGCAGCCGAGCGAGGGGUAGCGGCGCGCAAGCCAUUACUAUAUCCGAGUUGCGAGAUCGAGUCGGUUAACGGUGGGAGGCGCAAGACAGAUACAUAUUCAAACAAAAGAAGGAACACGAGUAAAGGGACAUCUUUCUCACCCUUCCUCUGUUUUCCUUUCUGCGCCGACCCCCUUCCCUCCCUCCCUCCCCAACACGCCCAACCCGUAUCUUGUCUGCCUCCUUGGCUUCGUCGUCGUUGCCACAGCCGCUGCUCCCCGUUCUCUCCUCCUUUUCGCUUUCCUCAGCUCUUUGGGCGCACUGCACUUUCAAGGUUGACGAGCGUGUGCGUGUGCGUGUGCGUGUGCGUGUGCGUGUGCGUGUGCGUGUGCGUGUGCGUGUGCGUGUGCGUGCUCGAAACGCCGACACGCUUUGUGAUUUCCCUUCUCUUCUGUUGUGCCCCGGCGUGCGCCGAGUAUUGUUGUUGCCGACGCGCACUCUCUCGCUUGCUCCUUCUCAUACUUUUUGUAUUGCUCUAUGUGGGUAGUGCCUCCCCGGCUAACUCAACGCCUCCAUCUCUUUCUCUCUCUUGUUUUUUUUUUCUAGGGUACGUGCGUGCGCGUGUGCUCCCCCUCUUCCCACACCCCACACCCCUCCCCUCGUCAGCAUUUACGUGCUGCUGUGCUCUCGCUGCUCCGGUACGGCCUCGUCGCAUCCUUUCCUUGCUCUCUUCGUUUCUGUGAGCGUCUUCGGCUGCUUUCGAAGCUCGCUCCCCCGUCGUCGAUCCUCGCGUGUUGCCCGCAGAUCGGAAACCCCCCACGGCCCAUCAUGCACUCUUUCACCUCCAACAACACGCCGAGCCCUCAGUCGGCCACGCACCGCCACACGAACCACUCCGCUACAAACACCUCGUCGCUACUGCCGCCGACCGCUUCACCGGUCCUGCAGGCGUCUUGUAUGGAUGCAAAGGAGGACCAAAUUGACGCUGACGCGCAGGGUAUUCCAUCUUCAGUUCUCUCCACCUCAAAGGCGAGAAUUUCCGCGGUGCCGACCAGCACCGAGUCCCCGCCAUCGCGCGGCGCUGCUUACCAGCACGCCCCCGCCGGCAGCAUCAAUGUGAGCGCAGCAACCGGCGCCACCGCAGUGCAGCACAGCGAUUCAGGUAGCAGCACUGCAGCACCCACCGCGUCAUCGUCGUCGCCACCGCCUCAGAAACAGCAGUCGCAACAUCUCAAACCCGCUGCCUACCCUGGGAAGCUCGACGACGCUCCUCACGCCGUGAACGACAACAUCGAAGCUGUCAUCAUCAACAAGGGCAGGAUCUGCACCCUUGCCUACUUCCCUAGUAGUGGCAACUUCCGCAUCACGCACGUGUCAAGCACCGGCAAGACGCGCGUAGUCCUGAACAUUCCGGUGCGGACGAUCAUCAACAUAGAGACCGCGGCUGAGCGUGACGCGCGGCAGCGAGCGCGCCAAGCGAACGACGACACAGUCAAACUUGCCUUUGCCGAGAACGGGCGUAACACGGGAGGUCUUCUCUGCACCUUCCCCUCCGGCGCCGACGAGGACAACGAGACAGUGGUGUUUGCCCACUCCCGCGUCAACACAGCCUCCUUCACGCUGAGGUUGCUGGGCGGGCCCUCUCCCACACCGACUGCGUCGCACUUCGGCACGCACACAGCCGCUUGCGCGGUGACCACGGCGGUGCCGAGCAUCCGCUACUAUGCCCACUACGUGCAGCAGCGCAACAAGGAGAACCCGUCUAUCCGCACGCUAGAGUUCCAGUCGAGCGGCCCGGCCGAGACGGUUCAGCAUGUUGUGUCAACGGUGGUGCAGCGCAUCUAUCAGAAGGGCUCGAAGCACAUCAUCGCCUUUAUUAGCGCCAAGUCAGGCAAGGGAAAGGGUGAGCACAUCUUUGAGAAGCAGGUGCGCCCCGUGCUGCACUUCAGCCGCCACACAUACCAGGCUCACGUGACGCGCCGCGCGCAUGACUGCGAGGACUACGUAGCAAACCUUGAGAACCCGAUGAACAGCAACACCGUCAUUGCCGCCGUUGGCGGAGACGGCAUGAUUCACGAAACUGUGAACGGCGUGCACCGCCGCAAGCUGGCACUCGUGCGCUGGCUGCGCAGCGUGACAGCCGAGGGGAGCACCGGGGGCACGUCUGCCGUCUCGCCCAACGUGUCUGCCCAUCUGAACGAGGAGACGUGCGCGGCGGUGACACUAAAGUCGGGCGGCGCUAACAAAGUGGCGCCCCACGGCGAGGCCAGCGUCGGCUCUCCGUCACCCUUCAUUCAGCUGGGUUGUGAGGAGAACAAGCGUAACGGUUACGGCGGAAACGGUGCGACGCCUUCGGCGGAGGCGACGGCCCGAGAGGCUUAUCGGCUUGCCCGCUGUCUGGUGCAAGACGGCUGGGAUGCGCUGAUGCCGCUCGUUGCGACGGUGGCGACCGGAAGCGCCUGCGGCCUUGCCAAGAGCCUUGAUGUCCUCUCCGUCGCCGAGGCAGCGUUGUCGCUGGUACACCUGAGCACGGUGCACAUGGACCUGCUGCUGAUGAACUUCACCCCGAACGAGGAUAUGGUGGAGUUCCACCGCCGCCGUAUGAGUGCGAGUCGACUCGACGCCGCACAGCGCGAGUUCUCGCAGUACAAGGAAGACAAGGCGGCCGAGCUGCAGGAGCGAUUGCGGCUGAGAGAGGCGCUCCAGCUGCCUCCCCGAAUGCUGACGGCAGCCGACUGUAUGACACCUUUCCUGAAGGAUGGCUCGAACGUCUACCGCGACGCCGUCAGCUGCGCGACGCGGAUGCCGGAGUUACACAGCCGUGUCGCCUUUAUGUCGCUGUCGUUUGGCGCCGCGAACGACAUCGACCACGGCUCGGAGUCGUUGCGUUGGAUGGGCAAUGCCCGCUUCCACGUGUAUGGUGGGUACAUGAUACUGCGUGGCCUCAAGCGGUACAAAGGCAUGCUGCGUUACCUGCCGUGGGAGAGCAAGGCUGGCAAGACGGUGGAGAAGCUGCACACACGCUGCAAGAUUCCAUCGACAGAUGACUUUCCGCUCUGCACGAUGCGGGAGAGCUGCCCGCACUGCCGCCAGUAUGUGUUUGCCCACUGCGGCGCGCCGUCGCUCUCCUCGAUGCAAGGCAAUGACACGCAUCCGGGCCCAACUCCAAACACCAGCCGAGGCGCUGCCCAGCCCAUUAGUGCCGCCGAAGCUCUAGCCCCAUACACGGACCAGCAGUUGCUCGACGAGGACGCUGUGGACUUCAAGGAUGAGCGGCUCCCGUGGGUAACCAUUCGCGGUGAUUUCUGCAUCGCACUCCUGUGCAACGUGCGGGAUGUUGCGCAGGACAUGCUCAUGGCGCCGUUAGCACACAUGUCGGAUGGCGCCAUCGAUGUAGUCUACUGCCGCGUCGACCCCACCACGGGCCGCGGAGGACGGAUGGAGAUGCUGAAGUUCUUUAUGGGUCUGGAGUCGGGUGCACACGUCAACCUCGACUUUGUGAACUACGUAAAGGCGCGCGCCUUGGAGAUCAAGGUGGACGCCGGCAUCUCGAUGUCGGACGGCGAGUUGAUGCCGCUCAGCUCCGUGCGCGUGACGAAGAUGCGCGGCAGCGUGCAGCUCGUGCGCAGUGGGUAGAGCGAGUGGCCAAGGAUCCAGUGCGGGAGGGCGGAGAGAGACUUUCAUGUCUGUCAGAGGCAUCGUGUAUAUGUGUACGAGUGUACAUCGCCUCCUUUUCUACAUUCGUUCUUUCUCCUUUUUCCCUCUCGUGGAUGUUCUCCAUGCGCCACACAGCCGAAUACGUGCUAAUUCGCUCCCUCUCUCUCUGUGUGUCUGCCUGCUGCAUCCUCUAUUGGCUGUCUGCUCUUUUCCGUCUGCGGUGCUUUUCUAUUAUUCUGUUCCCUCUCUCAUUCCUCCUCUUCUGACGAGGCCUGCAGACACAUUUGAAAAGCUUUUAAAGUUAUGUUGGCGGCUCGCGAAAGCUGCCUGGAGGCCGUCAAGUGUAGGAUGUCGUUGUUGUCAUUGCUGCUUGAGUGUGUGGUGGCGCUUGCUCGUCUGCUACAGAUGUGGAAUGCUGUAGCCGCGUCUCUCGUGUGCGCUCGUGCCGGCUUGCUGUGCUGCUCUCUCUCUCUGACUUUGAUUUUUUUCUUGCUCGUUUCCUCCCGUGUUGUGUUCAACGCCUCCUCCUGUUUCUGUACGUCUGCCAUGGGGCCUUGAAGGAUGUGCGCGUGUGUAUGCGGAGGCCCGGUGAUGAGGUCCGUGGCCCCAUCGUCACGGAGACAACACGCGCCCUCCCCCUCUUCCUCGUGACCUCCAUCCUUCACGAGCCAAUCUUGAUCUGCUCCUGCUCUUCCCAGACAGCAGAGGCGACGCCCCCCUUCGCCAUUUCUUCGUCUCUCCGUGUGCGCGUGCGCGUGAGCUGUGUUUUGUGUUGUGUUUUGCUGUACUGCGCUGCGCACCGCUGCUUGUCUGACGCAUUCGCCUGAGAUGCUUGGCCACUGCUUCUUCGUUGCUCUCUCCCACUCUCUCUUCUUUGGACUCUCCAGGAGAGAGGGGAAGAUCGUGUGGGCGGCGAUGCGGCGAAGAGAGGGAGAGGGGUGGCGGAAGGAAAAGAAAGGAUGGGGGGGCGGGGUGGGGCGGUGGCCCACUCGCGUAGCGAAGGGUUGAACCCCUCGCAGACCUCUCUCUCCGUGUGUGUGUUGCCUUGCGCCUCUCCCCCCCCCCCAUCCUUACCUCCCCCCGAUCGCCCUUUUCGAUCGUUUUUGCUUUCCUGGACUUUUUUCUCUUACAUCUGUCUUUCACGCCUGCGUGGCGUGUGGAGGAGGGGUGGGGGCACGACAUGCUCUUUUUCGCGUGUCGCCGCCGGCGGUACGGACGGCAUCGCCGCCGCAGUGGUUGGCGGGUGAUGUUCGUGCCUCCGUUGGCUUGGCUCUCGCGUACACCUCUCUGUUUAUAUAUAUUUAUCGUGUUCCUUUCGAUUGACGUAUAUAUAUAUAUAUGCGUGUGUGUGUAUGCAUAGGAGUGCAUAUAUAUGUUUUUCAGCUGGCGCUGCUUUUUCAGUUUUUUUUUCCAUCUCUCGCGAGCGCGUUCCCGAGCCGUUGGCACGAAAGAGUCGAUAAAAGGAACGGUGAAGGCACCCCGGAAUGGCGUGGC